rnacentral:misc_RNA from 1 species
GAAAUGCGAUACGCAAUGCGAAUUGCAGAAUUCCGCGAGUCAUCAGAUCUUUGAACGCAAAUGGCGCUCGGUUAAAAAAUACCCGAGCAUGUUUGUUUCAGUGUGUUCGGAAUCAUAUAUCUUAAUGCGAUUGAAUUUUAUAAUUCUCUCGUUAAACAUGAAAGCGCUGAAUUGUUCAGUGCCGACCGAAGUAGUCACUUCUUAGCAAGUGAUCUCGGUUGUGCAUAACUGGAGAUUCACUUAAAGCGUCUUUUUAAUAUAUUUAUUAUUCUCCACUCAACACCUGAAAUCAAGCAAGAUCACCCGCUGAACUUAA